GUGCCUGGAGGUGUUUGGUGACAUCACAGACACCCAGGGAGUUGUUCACCCUGUGCCCCCAGGGCACAGAACUUCUGAAACCACCCCCCACCCCUGUGGCUGUGUGAUUCAAGAAACCAAAUUGCCAUGCCCAGGUUUUUCUUCCUUGAGAAAGAACACCCAGCAAAGGGAGAUCAGACCCAUAGGAAUUUUUGAGGAACAGGGUUUGCAUCCUCCAUCACCUCAGCGGGAGACACUGGCAUUUCCCCCAGAGCAGAGUUAAUAUUCUCUGUGCCUGCAGCAGCAGCUCCAGCCCUCUCCUCCCCAGCUCCCCCUUCCCAGGCUGAAUGUUUUGGCAGACUUCUUGUUCCAAACCAGUGGACCUUGUAACGCCUCGGAAUGCAUAAUCCAAACCUCCCUGCCUAGCAAAGGCAGGAGUUGGGACAAAGCAGCGUGCACCUUCUAUCCUUUAGUUACCAGUUCAAGCUGUGAGGAAGAAAAAAGGGGUUUUCUCUGUGCUCUCAUUAUCCUCCUGCCCUGGCCUGCCCCACUGAGUCCCUCAGACCCACACAGGCCUGGAGGAUCUGCAUUCCCUGCUGGGAUCGAGCCAGCUCUGCAGCCAGGAGCAUCAGAGAACAUCUUCCCCUGGUGUUCCCUGGCUUGUGAUCCCUGCUGAAAGGCAGCUCCAGCUUUUUGAAGACCUCAGAGCUGCUCCAAGGCCACACGAGAGCGAUGAAGGGAACAAUCAGGAGUCUGUGACAGAUUUCUGCUCUUGUCUGCCAGGACAGGUGAGCCCAGGCGCUGCACAGCCCCCAGGACCUGGGCAAGGACGUCAGGUUUGCCCCUCAAUUCACUGCAGCUGCAGGUGAUGCAUCAGAGUGAAGGCUCUCCACUGAUGAUCCGUGCAAACAGGCCAUCCAUCAUUAGUGAAGCUGCCUGGAGCUCGGUGCUGUCACUGGAACGAGUGGUGGUGGAGCACAAGGUGUCAUAGGUGGCUCUCCAUCCCUUCAGAGGCUGAUGAAAAUCAAUCCCGAAGGAAUGUGCCAGCUCUGCAGGUGGAACCUGAACUCCUUGCUUCUGCAAAGACCCCUUGAAGCAGAGAGCAAGGAAAACUGUUUCAGUUCACAAAAGCCUGUGGUGGAUGAAGAUUCCAGGUCUGCUUGCCAGCUCUCCCACAGGUAGCUCCUGCUGCAUGGCUUUGGUGACCAAUCCAACCCCCCAGUUCAGCCUCAGCUUGGAGUACCUGAGUAACACAGGUUCCCCUGGUCCAGGAGGCUGGAGACCAAGCUAUUUCUAGAUCUCUCUAACUCACAGAAGUCUCUGAACAUUUUGUUUCCUUUUAGCCACCAGCAAGGCCUGAAAAUAGGGCCCCAACUGGCUUCAUGAAGGUGCUGAAGCUGGGAGAACCGUGGAGUGAGGGAAGGAGAGAGCCAGGCACAAACUCAGCGUGGGCUGAGCUGUGGCAGGGAGGACCAGGAAAUGUCAGGCUGUGUGUUUAGGUGACUCUUUGUGUUAUAUUUUCUUCCUUGAGCCAGGUCUUACAAGCUCUUGAAGGAAAAUAUAAUACACCCAAGAUAGCUCAGCUGCAGUUGGGGGCAUAAAAUGAGCACGAUGGCUUCUGCUGUAGUGUUGGAAACAAAAAGUUUUAAUAAAGGGCAAAACAACAAACAGAAAAACCCGAGCCAGGUGCAGAGGUCUGCUCCGAGAAAACACCUCACAAAAGCCCUCAGUUCCUUUGUUCUCUUAUUUUUCUACCCAAAUGGUCAGGCAGGACUUUUUGACUUCUAUCCAAUCAGCUGCCCUUAAGUUUGAGGUGAAGCCUCUUGGGUCCUACGAGGUGGCUUUUUACCCUCAUCAAUGAGAGAAACUUCUGGGCUUCUUUCCUUUUCAGGGAGACAAAGGAUAGUUUUGUCACUGUCAACAGGAGGCACACUCCUACAUCUUUGUGUUUCACCUACUUCAGCUCUGCCUUACAGGAGCAAGAGUUUAGCCAGGCUGGUCUGGAAGCCUGGCUUUGGAAGGGAAGAGUGCUGGGGCUCUCCAGCUGGAGACUCAGCACACCUUGGGCCUGUGCAGGGUGGGAAUAAACCUCCUCCUCCUCCUCCCCUGUGCACAGGAUGUGCUCCUUUUUUCUGUCACAGGACAAACCAGAACAGAAGAGCUCCUGCCUGGCUGUGCCUCGCUCCUGCCGUGCCUGAGCACGCCGGGGUGAUCGGAGGUGUCAUGUGUGCAUCAUUUAAAUUAACGUUACUAAAACAACAAUGCUAUUUUUAAUAUUUAAAGAGCCCCUUUGAAGAGUAGGAGAAUCUGUCACCUUUCCUGGUGGAUUUGAAUCCUGUGUUCUGAGGGUUUUUCUUCUCUGAUUAAAGCAGUUGCCUGCAUGAGGA